rnacentral:rRNA from 1 species
CUCCGGUUGAUCCCGCCGGACCCGACUGCUAUCAGAGUGGGACUAAGCCAUGCGAGUCAACAUAGCAAUAUGUGGCAUACGGCUCAGUAACACGUAGUCAACAUGCCCAGGGGACGUGGAUAACCUCGGGAAACUGAGGAUAAACCGCGAUAGGUCAUCACUUCUGGAAUGGGUAAUGACUUAAAUCUAUAUGGCCCCUGGAUUGGACUGCGGCCGAUCAGGCUGUUGGUGAGGUAAUGGCCCACCAAACCUGUAACCGGUACGGGCUCUGAGAGGAGGAGCCCGGAGAUGGGCACUGAGACAAGGGCCCAGGCCCUAUGGGGCGCAGCAGGCGCGAAACCUCUGCAAUAGGCGAAAGCUUGACAGGGUUACUCUGAGUGAUUUCCGUUAAGGAGAUCUUUUGGCACCUCUAAAAAUGGUGCAGAAUAAGGGGUGGGCAAGUCUGGUGUCAGCCGCCGCGGUAAUACCAGCACCCCGAGUGGUCGGGACGUUUAUUGGGCCUAAAGCAUCCGUAGCCGGUUCUACAAGUCUUCCGUUAAAUCCACCUGCUUAACAGAUGGGCUGCGGAAGAUACUAUAGAGCUAGGAGGCGGGAGAGGCAAGCGGUACUCGAUGGGUAGGGGUAAAAUCCGUUGAUCCAUUGAAGACCACCAGUGGCGAAGGCGGCUUGCCAGAACGCGCUCGACGGUGAGGGAUGAAAGCUGGGGGAGCAAACCGGAUUAGAUACCCGGGUAGUCCCAGCUGUAAACGAUGCAGACUCGGUGAUGAGUUGGCUUAUUGCUAACUCAGUGCCGCAGGGAAGCCGUUAAGUUUGCCGCCUGGGGAGUACGGUCGCAAGACUGAAACUUAAAGGAUUUGGCGGGGGAGCA